rnacentral:rRNA from 1 species
UGGGGAAUAUUGGACAAUGGAGGAAACUCUGAUCCAGCAAUUCUGUGUGUGUGAAGAAGGUUUUAGGACUGUAAAACACUUUUAGUAGGGAAGAAAAAAAUGACGGUACCUACAGAAGAAGCAACGGCUAAAUACGUGCCAGCAGCCGCGGUAAUACGUAUGUUGCGAGCGUUAUCCGGAAUUAUUGGGCUUAAAGGGCAUCUAGGCGGUAAGACAAGUUGAAGGUGAAAACCUGUGGCUCAACCAUAGGCUUGCCUACAAAACUGUUGAACUAGAGUACUGGAAAGGUGGGUGGAACUACACGAGUAGAGGUGAAAUUCGUAGAUAUGUGUAGAAAUGCCGAUGAUGAAGAUAACUCACUGGACAGAAACUGACGCUGAAGUGCGAAAGCUAGGGGAGCAAACAGG